rnacentral:rRNA from 1 species
AAUCUUGCGCAAUGGCCGAGAGGCUGACGCAGCGACGCCGCGUGGGGGAGGAAGGUCUUCGGAUCGUAAACCCCUGUCAGGAGGGACGAACGCCCCGGGGAGGCAAUGCCCCGGGAAUGACGGUACCUCCAGAGGAAGCACCGGCUAACUCCGUGCCAGCAGCCGCGGUAAUACGGAGGGUGCGAGCGUUGUUCGGAAUUAUUGGGCGUAAAGCGCACGUAGGCGGCUUUGUAAGUCUCACUGUGAAAGCCCGGGGCUCAACCCCGGGAGGCCAGGGGAUACUGCGAGGCUUGAGUCAAGUAGAGGUUGGUAGAAUUCCGGGUGUAGCGGUGGAAUGCGUAGAGAUCCGGAGGAAUACCAGAGGCGAAGGCGGCCAACUGGACUUGUACUGACGCUGAGGUGCGAAAGCGUGGGGAGC